rnacentral:rRNA from 1 species
CAGCAGCCGCGGGAACACGAAGGGGGCUAGCGUUGUUCGGAUUUACUGGGCGUAAAGGGCGCGUAGGCGGACUGAUAAGUCAGGGGUGAAAUCCCAAGGCUCAACCUUGGAACUGCCUUUGAUACUGUUUGUCUUGAGUUCGAGAGAGGUAAGUGGAACUGCGAGUGUAUAGGUGAAAUUCGUAGAUAUUCGCAAGAACACCAGUGGCGAAGGCGACUCUCUGGUCUGUAACUGACGCUGAGGAGCGAAAGCGUGGGGAGCGAACAGGAUUAGAUACCCGAGUGUCCCUGUCUCUAUACAC